rnacentral:rRNA from 1 species
AUUGAACGCUGGCGGCAUGCUUUACACAUGCAAGUCGAGCGGCAGCGCGGGGGCAACCCUGGCGGCGAGCGGCGAACGGGUGAGUAAUGCAUCGGAACGUGUCCGGGAGUGGGGGAUAACCCGCCGAAAGGCGGGCUAAUACCGCAUAUUCUCUGAGGAGGAAAGGGGGGGACCGCAAGGCCUCCUGCUUUCGGAGCGGCCGAUGUCCGAUUAGCUAGUUGGUGGGGUAAUGGCUUACCAAGGCGACGAUCGGUAGCUGGUCUGAGAGGAUGAUCAGCCACACUGGGACUGAGACACGGCCCAGACUCCUACGGGAGGCAGCAGUGGGGAAUUUUGGACAAUGGGGGCAACCCUGAUCCAGCCAUGCCGCGUGCGGGAAGAAGGCCUUCGGGUUGUAAACCGCUUUUAGCCGGGAAGAAAAGGCGGGGGCUAACACCCUCUGUUCUUGACGGUACCGGCGGAAUAAGCACCGGCUAACUACGUG